rnacentral:rRNA from 1 species
GCUAUCAUACCAGCACUAAUGCACCGGAUCCCAUCAGAACUCCGAUGUUAAGCGUGAUUGGGCGAGAGCAGUACUAGGAUGGGUGACCCCCUAGGAAGUCCUCGUGUUGCACCU